AGAAAAUAUGGUAAUCGCCUUGGAGCCUGAGGCGGCAUCAUUUUGCUGCAGACACAUGCCAAUGACAAACGCUGAAGGUAGUCAAGACUUCAUGCCUUUCAGCCGAACACAAAGUAUUUAAUUUUCGAUGCUGGAGGUGGUACCGUUGACAUAACUGUACACCAAGCUGUGUUUGGAGGGGGUCUGAAGGAGCUGUACCAAGCCAACGGAGGAGACUGGGGUGGAACGUACGUUGAUAAAGCAUUCAGGCGCUUCCUAGAAGACAUGUAUGGUAAAGAUGUCAUGGAAACAUUACAACAGAAACAUACAUCAGAAUACUUUGAACUAUUCAGAGAUUUCGAACGUUUAAAAAGGGAUUUCAACUAUCCCUUAAAGCGUGUAAUUAUAAAGCCUCCUGUUGCAUUAAAUGACUUGUAUCAGGAAAAAAACGGAAAACACA